GCCUUCAUGGUGUAGUGGUCAGCACGUUCGGCGCGUAUUCGAGAGGUCCGUGGUUCAAGUCCUGCGAGGGCA
rnacentral:tRNA from 1 species